AACGUAGGAGACAAACGUUAUCCGGAGUUACUGGGCGUAAAGGGCGUGUAGGUGGUUUUGUAAGUCUGGCGUGAAAUUUUUCGGCUUAACCGGGAAAGGUCGUCGGAUACUGCAGGGCUAGAGGACGGUAGAGGCGUGUGGAAUUCCGGGUGUAGUGGUGAAAUGCGUAGAGAUCCGGAGGAACACCAGUGGCGAAGGCGACACGCUGGGCCGUACCUGACACUGAUGCGCGACAGCAUGGGGAGCAAACAGG
rnacentral:rRNA from 1 species